rnacentral:misc_RNA from 1 species
GAAACUUGAACAAGAUUACUCAACACUGUCCUACCAAUUAAUAACCCAAGACUGAACCUUAAGUUCUGAUGUCAUUUUGAACAGAUUUAACUAAUACUGAGGGAUAUUAUGAAGAAAGUUCAGAGACAAAGACAACAUAGAUACAAGUACUUAAUGUAAAUCACCCACUCCAGAGAAUUAUAAAGUGCUAACAAGAUCAGAACAAUCCAAUAUAGCAGGAUGAACAGAGUAGACAAUGUUAGAUCCAACAAAAAAGGAAUAAAACAUGUUCCUCAUAAGCAACCAAUCUGUUACCUUUUGUUAUGGGACAUAUAAAGGCCUCCUAAUCAUGGCUGAUUUAGACAAAUCAAGAUCAAUGUUAUGGUCUGGUGUCUAAGGACAACUAAGGUGAGUAUAUCUAAAAAUGCUAGUUUCACCACGCCUUGAUGGCAAGCAUGAUAUCCAGCUAUAUCAUCUGGAAGAUCAAAUGUCUUAUCUAAAGGCCCUAAGAGAACUCCAGGCGUCAUUUCUCCAAAGCAAAUAAAUUUACCCAAUCUAACUCGGGUUCUAAUUUCCACAGUAAGUGAAGAAGGUGAAUUCUUUACAUAGGCAAAUGGGUUGAGCUCUUAGCUACGAAAUUUUCAAGCUUUGCUUAAGAGGUAAUCAUUAAAGAAAGAUAAAAGCAAUCACCAAUCUUGGGAUGUUUUAGUAAACAUACAAAAAGAUCAAAAUUCAUAGAUGGGAGCGUAAUAAAUUGCUUCUUUUAUCAUAAAAAACAGAAGUAAAGUCAGACUACAAAAUAACGAAGAAGAUGCUAAUAAAACAUAUUUUUCCAGUAGAAAAGAGGUACAGAAAGGGGGAGAGAAAGAUGAACGCACCAAUGAAAGCGACGAAUUACAUGAAAGAAUAAGGUGUUGGCGUUGUAAUCGAACGAAUAAACUCUGGGCAGAUUCUGUAAAAGCAAAUGCAAAGUUGGGAUUUUAGAGUUUUCCAAAUGAUUGGGAAUUUAAGGGACGAAGCCUACAUGGCUGGAGGAGGAUGUCAUCAUAUGAAUUACCAGUGAGAAGGGAAAGUAAAGCCCAAUGUCAAGGGAAAUUAUAUACGACCUGCUAGGGGAUACAAAGAAACUGCUAAU